rnacentral:rRNA from 1 species
AGUGAACGCUGGCGGCGUGCUUAACACAUGCAGGUCGAACGAGAACGGGUUAUAGCUUGCUAUAAUUGUCAGCUAAGUGGCGCACGGGUGAGUAAUGUAUAGGUAAUAUGCCUCUUACUAAGGGAUAACAAAUGGAAACGUUUGCUAAUACCUUAUACUCCUUAUUAACAGAAGUUAAUAAGGGAAAGAUUUAUUGGUAAGAGAUUAGCCUGUAUUGUAUCAGUUAGUUGGUGAGGUAAUGGCUUACCAAGACUAUGACACAUAACUGGUUUGAGAGGAUGCUCAGUCACACUGGAACUGAGACACGGUCCAGACUCCUACGGGAGGCAGCAGUGGGGAAUAUUGCACAAUGGACGAAAGUCUGAUGCAGCAACGCCACGUGGAGGAUGACACAUUUCGGUGCGUAAACUCCUUUUAUAUGAGAAGAUAAUGACGGUAUUAUAUGAAUAAGCACCGGCUAACUCCGUGCCAGCCGCCGCAGUAA